UCAUCUAUAAUCUCGAUGAUUGGCUUUAGGACAUAUUUUUUCAACAGGUGGUGUCUGGUGGAAGAAAAGAAAGGGGACUUCACAUGGAGUUAUCCCUGAUGAAGGGAGCAAAUGAGGAAACUUAAGGAAAAUAAAAGAAAGUUUAGAAGAAAGAGAUGAAGACGUUGUGGAGAAGAUAAAGAGAUGAAGAAGCUUAAUGGA
rnacentral:lncRNA from 1 species